ACGGCUGCUCCGUCCUAUGGAAGUUGCGUCCACUUCGAGUCACCGCCAACCAGCCACACACCGGGGGCGUCACUCACGCUGCGGAGGCCCCGCCUUUUCCUUUCCUUUCCUCGCGCGCGCUCGCGCGCGCGCUCCCUCAACCCUACAACACUGAAUCCAACGGCUCCACUUCUUUCUUUCUCUCUCUCUCUGUCUCCCUUCAGAGGACCCUACACACUUCCUUCCACGCCCUGCGCAUGUGUGUGACUGCGGCACGCCCUCCAUCCUUUUCCUGCGUGUGCGCGCGUGGACCUCCUUCCCGUGAGAGCGCGCAUCCUGCAAGGACGAUUCUCAAACAAGGCGAUUGCGCAUGCGCCCAAGGACAGCCACUGCGCCUCUUCUUCCUUCGGCUCAUCACAACUUCCUUCAGCUCUCUCAACCAAUCUGGCCAUUCUGCCUGGUCGCAGCGGAAGAACAUAAGAAGCAACACGCACGCAUGACUCCUUUCCUCCCAGAACGGUCUCCUGCUGUGACCACUUCACCUGGUCAUGAUGUAACUUUAUUAUAUAACUGUACUUGUGGUACUUGGUGUGUGUUUUUUUAAAGACAUUUCCCCCUAUCCCUUUCCCUCUUUGUAUCCUUAAAUAAAACUUUAUUAUAUAACUGUACUUGUGGUACUUGGGCUUUAAAAAAAAGACAUUUCCCCCUAUCCCUUUCCCUCUUUGUAUCCUUAAAUUGUAAGGCAUCCUCUAUAAUAAAAGCCUUGAGCGUGA